rnacentral:rRNA from 1 species
CAUCACUACGCUAGAUGCAUAUCAAUAAGCGGAGGAAAAGAAACUAACUAAGGAUUCCCUCAGUAACGGCGAGUGAAGCGGGAAGAGCUCAAAUUUGAAAUCUUCAAGGUUUUACCUUGACGAAUUGUAGUUUAAAGAAGUGUUUUCUGUUGAAGUUUUGGUAAAAGUUCUUUGGAAUAGGACAUCAUAGAGGGUGAGAAUCCCGUAUUUGACCAUUACUUCCAGCGUUGUGAUACACUUUCAAAGAGUCGGAUUGUUUGGGAAUGCAGUCCAAAAUGGGUGGUAAAUUUCAUCUAAAGCUAAAUAUUGGCGAGAGACCGAUAGCGAACAAGUACCGUGAGGGAAAGAUGAAAAGAACUUUGAAAAGAGAGUUAAACAGUACGUGAAAUUGUCAAAAGGGAAGCGUUUGACACCAGGGUUGUUUUCUCGAAAAUCAAUUAAAAAAAGUUGGAUUUUGUGUUGUAUUGACCUUAACAGCUUUCUUCACUCUUUUCCUGCUUUUUUUAAUGCACUUUUCGUUUAACAAGUCAACAUCAGUUUCUUUUGUUGUAAAAAGGUCAUUGGAAGGUGGCUUUCUUUUCGGAGAAAGUGUUUAUAGCCUUGUACCUCUGCAAUCGGAGAGAUUGAGGUCUGCAGCGUAGAUCCUUCGGGGUUAGAUACAUUUGUGCUAAGUUAUAGCUUUUCAUAGACAACUUGUUGACUAUGUUAAGUCUUGUAGCUUACUCGCUUAUGUUAUUUUACCUACGCUUAGGAUGUUGACACACGCGCGUGCUCG